CAACUGGGAUUGCCUCAGUAACGGCGAGUGAAGCGGCAAAAGCUCAAAUUUGAAAUCUGGCCCCGUCAGGAGCCCGAGUUGUAAUUUGGAGAGGACACUUCGGGUGUGGCCGCGGCGUAAGUCCCUUGGAACAGGGCGUCAUAGAGGGUGAGAAUCCCGUCUUGCGCCGCCGGACCACGCCCAUGCGAAGUUCCUUCGACGAGUCGAGUUGUUUGGGAAUGCAGCUCUAAGUGGGUGGUAAAUUUCAUCUAAAGCUAAAUAUUGGCCAGAGACCGAUAGCGAACAAGUAGAGUGAUCGAAAGGUUAAAAGCACCUUGAAAAGGGAGUUAAAUAGCACGUGAAAUUGUUGAAAGGGAAGCGCUUGCAACCAGACUCGGUCGUGGGGGCUCAGCGGGCAUGCUUGCCCGUGUACUCCCCCGCGUUCGGGCCAGCAUCGGUUCCGGCGGUUGGUCAAAGACCUCUGGAAUGUGUCGUCCUCCGGGACGUCUUAUAGCCAGGGGUGCAAUGCUGCCAGCCGGGACCGAGGAUCGCGCUUCGGCACGGAUGCUGGCAUAAUGGUUGUAAGCGGCCCGUCUUGAAACACGGACCAAGGAGUCUAACAUCCACGCGAGUGUUCGGGUGUCAAACCCGUGCGCGCAGUGAAAGCGAACGGAGGUAGGAGCCCUCGCGGGUGCACUAUCGACCGAUCCUGAAGUCUUCGGAUGGAUUUGAGUAGGAGCGUGGCUGUUGGGACCCGAAAGAUGGUGAACUAUGCCUGAAUAGGGUGAAGCCAGAGGAAACUCUGGUGGAGGCUCGCAGCGGUUCUGACGUGCAAAUCGAUCGUCAAAUUUGGGUAUAGGGGCGAAAGACUAAUCGAA
rnacentral:rRNA from 1 species